rnacentral:rRNA from 1 species
AAACUAACAAGGAUUCCCCUAGUAACGGCGAGUGAAGCGGGAAGAGCUCAAAUUUGUAAUCUGGCACUUUCAGUGUCCGAGUUGUAAUCUCGAGAAGUAUUUUCCGCGCCGGACCGCAUACAAGUCUGUUGGAAUACAGCGUCAUAGUGGUGAGAACCCCGUAACUGAUGCGGAUGCCCGGUGCUUUGUGAUAUACUUUCGAAGAGUCGAGUUGUUUGGGAAUGCAGCUCAAAUUGGGUGGUAAAUUCCAUCUAAAGCUAAAUAUUGGAGCAAGACCGAUAGCGAACAAGUACCGUGAGGGAAAGAUGAAAAGCACUUUGGAAAGAGAGUUAACAGUACGUGAAAUUGUUGGAAGGGAAACGCUUGAAGUCAGACUUGCUAUUCGGAGUUCAGCCGCAAGGUGUAUUCUUCGAUUUGCAGGCCAGCAUCAGUUUUUGGGGGUGGAAAAUCGUGGUUUGAAGGUAGCAGUUUCGGCUGUGUUAUAGCUUUCCACUGGAUUCAUCUUCGGGGACUGAGGAACGCAGUACGCUUUUUGCAAGGCUCUCGAGCUUUUCGUACUUAGGAUGCUGGUGGAAUGGCUUUAAACGAC